AUAAUUUGACAAAGACACUUUUGUUUUGUCGCAUUUUGUCGGGGAUGUACAUCAGAUCUCAAUGCUUCUCAAGUUUCAAACGCCACAGUUGCUGCUUCACGUCGAUACCGCCCGUAAAGCUUCCGGACCAAUAUGAUGCUGUGACGAGCGUGUUGUUACUGUAUAUAGUUCGAGUGGCGAGACGAAUGCUCUUGAUGAUGGUGGUAAGAAUGUGUCUCAUGCGGAAGAUGCUUUGUUUAAGAUUCAUGAUAGAGUGAUUGCUGAGGAAUUACACAGUGAUCAGAGGAAGAAUGCGGUCCUCAAGUGACUGCUAGGAUGUUAGUGCCGGCUGAUCAGAUAGGAUGUGUUCUUGGAAAAAGCGGGCAGAUUGUUCAGACUAUGCGCAGUGAAACUGAGGCUCAUAUUCGUAUACUUAAG